rnacentral:rRNA from 1 species
AUUGAACGCUGGCGGCAGGCCUAACACAUGCAAGUCGAGCGGUAGCAGGCCUUCGGGUGCUGACGAGCGGCGGACGGGUGAGGAAUGCAUAGGAAUCUGCCUAUUAGUGGGGGAUAACACGGGGAAACUCGUGCUAAUACCGCAUACGUCCUACGGGAGAAAGUGGGGGAUCUUCGGACCUCACGCUAAUAGAUGAGCCUAUGCCGGAUUAGCUAGUUGGUAGGGUAAAGGCCUACCAAGGCGACGAUCCGUAGCUGGUCUGAGAGGAUGAUCAGCCACACUGGGACUGAGACACGGCCCAGACUCCUACGGGAGGCAGCAGUGGGGAAUAUUGGACAAUGGGCGCAAGCCUGAUCCAGCCAUGCCGUGUGUGUGAAGAAGGCCUUCGGGUUGUAAAGCACUUUAAGUGGGGAGGAAGGUCAGUAGAAUAAUACUCUGCUGAAUUGACGUUACCCACAGAAUAAGCACCGGCUAACUCUGUGCCAGCCGCCGCGGUAA